UAGAAUGUUUGGUUCACUAUAAUUCUUAGGUCUUUUUCACAUGAAUUGCUCCCUACUUAUGCCUUCCCUCUCUUGUACUUAGUAAAUUGAUUUUUUUUGAGCCAGAAGGAAGAGCUCUUCAUUUACUUCUUUUUUAGAUUGCUUUUAAAAACAAAUUUCAAGAACUUAUUUUUUCUUCCUCUCAUAUUCACCUAACUACUGAAAAGAAAGAAACAGAGAAAGGAAGAAUAAGAAGGGAAGAAAGGAAAAAGAAAAAAAGAAAGAGGGAAAGAAGGAAGAAAGGAAUAUUUCCUUUGGCCUCCAUAGAAGUACUUUCUUAUAAAAGAUAGAUAUGAAGAAACAAAACAAGCACAAAAUUGGCUAUAUGUGGAAAGGCAUGUUGUCUUCUGCACCUCUAGUCCAUCACCUAUCAUUCAAGACAUGGGAAGUUGCUUCAUUAUCAGUAGUCAGCAAAAUUGGGUGGGCUUAAGUCAAAAUACAAUACCAGUGAUGUAAUUUUGGUCUUCUUCCAGUAAAAAUGACAACAACCAACCAACAAUCACCUUCUGGCAGGGAAAGAAAAGAAAUAUACCAGGGUAGGCAAUCAGAGCAUUCAUGUCCAUCAUAGUGAUAAGUGGGGUACCAGAGAACACAUCUUGCUUUCACAUAGUGCUAGGAUCCUGAAAUAAUAUUUACUGGGUAAAUGGUCUUUAUCAUCAUUGUUAUUUAAACCCUUAUCUUCUGUUUUAGAACUGAUAUUAAAUAUCAGUUUUAAGGCAGAGAAGCAGGUGAGAGCUAGGCAAAUGGGUUUUUGUAGACUACUUUUUCCCUUUCAGUGAACAUCUUCAUUUCUAUUACUGAAGCUCUAAGAGUUUAGGAGUUCUUGUUUAAUAGAGUGGUUUCCAAUUGGAGAGUAGUGUCUAUGGUGUAUCCUGGAAUCCUAUUCUUG
rnacentral:lncRNA from 1 species